rnacentral:rRNA from 1 species
UACGGAGGGUGCAAGCGUUAAUCGGAAUUACUGGGCGUAAAGCGCACGCAGGUGGCUGAGUAAGUCGAUUGUGAAAGCCCUGGGCUUAACCUGGGAAUUGCAUUCGAUACUGUUCAGCUAGAGUGUGGGAGAGGGAAGUGGAAUUCCCGGUGUAGCGGUGAAAUGCGUAGGUAUCGGGAGGAACAUCAGUGGCGAAGGCGGCUUCCUGGCCCAACACUGACACUCAGGUGCGACAGCGUGGGGAGCAAACAGG